GAGCAGGGUUCCAUGUGAACAGCAGUUGAACAUGGGUCAGUCGGUCCUAAGCAAUAGGCAAGUGCCCUGACUGUGAGAAUGGGGGCCUGGU